rnacentral:rRNA from 1 species
GACGAACGCUGGCGGCGUGCCUAAUACAUGCAAGUAGGACGCAGUUGCGAACGGGUGAGUAACGCGUAGGUAACUGCCUAUUAGAGGGGGAUAACUAUUGGAAACGAUAGCUAAUACCGCAUACUAGUAGAUGGACCUGCGUUGUAUUAGCUAGUAGGUAGGGUAAUGGCCUACCUAGGCGACGAUACAUAGCCGACCUGAGAGGGUGAUCGGGCAAACGUGGAAUGAGACACGGCCCAGAAUCCUACGGGGGGGAGAAGUAGGGAAACUUCGGCAAUGGGGGGAAACCUGACCGAGCAACGCCGCGGGAGUGAAGAAGGUGUUCGGAUCGUAAAGCUCUGUUGUUAAGGAAGCGGUACUUAACCAGAAAGGGACGGCUAACUACGUGCCAGCAGCCGCGGUAAUAC